rnacentral:rRNA from 1 species
GACGAACGCUGGCGGCGUGCUUAACACAUGCAAGUCGAACGGAAAGGCCCUGCUUUUGUGGGGUGCUCGAGUGGCGAACGGGUGAGUAACACGUGAGUAACCUGCCCUUGACUUUGGGAUAACUUCAGGAAACUGGGGCUAAUACCGGAUAGGAGCUCCUGCUGCAUGGUGGGGGUUGGAAAGUUUCGGCGGUUGGGGAUGGACUCGCGGCUUAUCAGCUUGUUGGUGGGGUAGUGGCUUACCAAGGCUUUGACGGGUAGCCGGCCUGAGGGGGUGACCGGCCACAUUGGGACUGAGAUAGGGCCCAGACUCCUACGGGAGGCAGCAGUGGGGAAUAUUGCACAAUGGGCGGAAGCCUGAUGAAGCAACGCCGCGUGCGGGAUGACGGCCUUCGGGUUGUAAACCGCUUUCGCCUGUGACGAAGCGUGAGUGACGGUAAUGGGUAAAGAAGCACCGGCUAACUACGUG